AGCUAGGAUAGCUACUUUCUCUCAAGUUUCCACGGAAUUGGAGGUUACAAGAAGAUUAAUUAACAAUGUGAUCAACCUCCUCUGGCUUCUUAUAGUAACUGCUAAAUGUUUUGCCAUUGGGAUGUGCUAAUAGAAUUAACUAGGUCAACACUCUAUAAUCUUUUCUUGGAUACACAGAUCACAUUACAUUCACUAAAAAUGGCAGUUAAAAGGAUUCUGCCUGCAUACUGUACCGAGGUCAGCAUGCAGGCUAUAUAAUGAGCUGAAAACAGAGAGCAAGUAUAAGCAACUCAUAAGCAGCCAAGGACCCAAUUUGUAUCAGCAGCAAGAAUGAAGAUAUUCGCUUUCCUCCUGGUGUUAGUGGCUUUAUGCUCACAACAGUUGGUGAAUGGAUCACUUGCGAUAGAUGUGCUGAAGGCAAUUCAGAUGAGCCAAAACAACAAAGAAGCCCUAACACAAGCAUUGGUAUUGCAAGCUUUAAAAGAUUCGUCCAAUGCAGUGAAAGAAUCAAGAAUUACCCAUGAAGACAGGGGUAGAGCCCGCAUUAGUCAAGCAGCGUCUUUCCUAACUAUCCAGGACUGCGAUACUGCUGGAAAUAUUGUAAAUUCCAUAUUGCAGCCGGCACUAGGCUGGAUUCCAGGCAUUGCAAAUGCUGUAAAUGUUUUGGUCAACUGUGGAAUAUCGUCAGGCUGUACACAAGUGAGAGUCCAAGUACCAGCAGGAAAUACCGUGGCUGAUAUUGAUGUUUGCACUGUUAGCGGUGGUGGUUUUUGUGUGGAGGUAUAUGGAGGUUCAGGUUCACCGUGUUCAGGUGGAAUCCCAUUCCCCAUUCCCAUCCCCAUAGCUUCAACUGGAACAACUGCUCCAAUCACACUGACGCUUAACAUACUAGCCAAUUGUGCGAUGAUUAACGUGGGAAAUAUCCAAACGUGUUCAAACAACUAAAGAAGUAAAGAACAUGCGUACUGCUGUAGAAUAUAUAUAGCUGUAUUAAGUGACUGGGAAAUAUAGUGUAUAUACCGAAUACAACUAUAGAAUCUGUUUUGUUGUAUAUUGAAUUCUUAAACGUUAAAGUAUAGAUCUACCAUAGAUAUUACUAUAAUUAUACUGCAUGUAUAUAGAUAUGUGUGUAAAAUACCUUGGGACAGGCAGUAUUCAUAUGAUUGUACAGGAUCGAUGCAUGAGCACAAUUAUAUUGGCAAGCGAUCUGAUGCACAUAGUUGCUCUGAGCUAGAUACAUAUAGGGGUUGGUAGAUUAUGCUUGAUAUAACUAGUGUUCAAGCUGGCGCUGUGCUAAUGCCUCUCGCCAUGUUUUUGCUUUCGCUCAAAAGUAUUAGAGUGUUAUCUAUAAUGAAUUUUAUAUUAAAGUUAGCUAUCUAUAUAAAGUCACUGAGAAGAAAAGACUUAUUUACAUGCAUCUAUUGUUGCUAUUUAUUGUAUUAUGUGGCUUAUUACCAGGACCUCAAGAAAGAAGAAAAUUGAUUCUUCCAGGAUUUGUAGUUCAGUGUAUAUAAUAUCUAAGAAGAAAAGACCUGUGUACAUGCAUAUUGUUAUCUAUAUUGUUAUAUGGUAGUGUUUUGAGGCUUACCAGGCCCUCAAGACAAAGAUGAUUCUGCCAGGAGGAUCUGGAUCUGGAUCUUGGAUAUUAUUUUCUCACACAUGGAAUGAGCGCGCAUGCGCAUUACAUCCACAGGAAUAAUUAAAGGGUGUGUCCAAAGAGAUCAAUUUCACAAAUGGCUACUGCUAGCUAACUGUUUUAACAGAUAUUUUCUGAGUCUUGUAGCUAACAAAAAGCUAGCGCUUUAGUGCAAGGCUAACUCAUAUGUUGAAUAGAAAGUUUGUGGGAACAGAUGAUGCUAUAAAAGAUUCUAAAGAGACUGCAACAGCCUUCAAUGUGAGUCAAACUAGCCAUAACUCGAGAAAGAAGCUUUAGUUUGCUAAUCCACAAGUCAAAAUCCAAGAGAACGUGGCUAGAAGCCUAUAGAAGCUGUUAGUUUUCGUCACAUUGCAACCGUUGAGCAGAUACUGCGUAAGUGUUCAGCUAAUAAUACGGUCAACACAUGUGGUGAAAACUAGCCUCGAACCAGGCCCAAUUUUUGGGCCUGGUUCGAGGCUAGGUGAAAACUGGAGCUAGCUCACAGAAUGGCUUCUGGCAGAAGUUCUACUUGUAGACUUUGUUCCUCAACUACAUCUAGGAAGUAUUUAUUUGGUUUGUUUACUCCUUUAGGAGAGAAAGAGAAGUUGAGUGACCGCUUAAGCACUUUAUUGCUGGUGCCAAUCACCAAGAACGAUACGUUGCCUCAGUACAUUUGUAGGAAAUGCAAGGAAGCCUUUCUUGUAGUGGAAAGAAAGUUGAAGUCCCUACGCAUCCAAGCCAAAGAGAGUUUUGACAAGUUUCAACAAACAGUCCCUAUGCACACACAAACACAUUUCAAUGCACCUACAUGUACACCAGAGUCCCGAAAGCGACCUAAACACACUAGUAGCUUAACGGGAGUGUCACCAUUUACAGCUAGGUCUCGUCCGCCAUCUAAAAAUGCAUCAAGAACAUUGUUUGAAGGAAACCAGCUUUCUCCAGAGAGACCAAUUCCACCUGCUCCUUGUUCGGCAUUGAGCAGCAAUUCAUCUGUAAUAGCUCCAGAGAGACCUCCUCCUUGUCCAAGUGAGAAUCUCUCGCCCACACAUGGUAUGCACAAUGUCAUGUACAAAGAACUUAAUUAUUAUAAUUAUUAUGACGCAAUUAGAUAAAAAACAUGGGUUUAAUCUUGCCUCGUAUACAUGCAUUAGGGGUAACUGUGUAACUAGCAUGGCAAAUCGAUCUGUUACUGAUGAAACGGUUUCGACAUCUGUUAAGGUAAGAACACUUUCGAACCCUAACCCUUGUAGCUAAAUAUAAUAUUGCAGGUAACAGUUACCACCCCAAGUCACUCUGGUGGAAUAAUUAAGCAGCUAGAUACCAAGUUGGAAAAAGUUGGAAGGGCAUUAGCAGGAGGUCACAUUCCUACAAUUGCAAAGGCCGUGUACGCCAAUCCUGACCUUAAAAAGCAACUGAAAAGUAAAUUCUUAUCGGAAGUAAGUACUGAGUGUUCUACCAUGUGCAGGAUAGAAUUACCAAAUAUUAACGCACCAUCAAUGUUCCGGAAGAUACCAGUCGAUGCCAUAUCAGCAUUUUCUUGGAGAAAGUGCAUCCGAGAGCUCGAGUUACAUGCUCCAACCCUUCUUCAGAUGCUCUUGGUAAUUUCGACUCACACCGACCACAGAAACUCAAAAAAAAAAGACGACUCUCACUUUAAAUUUUCUAUUAACAAUUCAACACACCAACUGUUCACAAUGUCUUCACCAUUCAACAUCAAAUCCUACAGGGUCAAUCUUGUGCUAGAACUAGAAUUAAUUGCACACAUACAUCGCAACAGAGUAGCGGGUCUACAGAUUUUGGGGUUGAGCUCAUACCAAAGUAACCGACAAGUUGAGAACGCCUGCAUUCCUUGUCAUUUUCGAGAUAGGAUCGAACAGCCAAUGUCUCAACAUGGCGAGGAUUACUCAAGUCCUUUCUCGAAGGAGCAUCUAUUGGCUUCCAGUAGAUAACAGAUGUAGCAUGAUCACCUGAACGUCCUGAGCGGCCACUUUCUUGAAAGUAAUCGUCAAUACUACUUGGUGCUCCAUAGUGUACAAUAAUUUAUGGUUCAAGUUUACAAAGUUCACUCCCAUGCCUAAAGCAACAGUGGCAAAUACAACUCGAACAGUACCACAAGCUUGCGACAUACUUGAUAUUAUAUGAGCCUUGAUGUGAUCGGUAGUUUGAGCAUGGAACAUACCAAACAGUCGAUUCAUACUAAUUUUGGGAGUCAUCAGGGGGGUAAUAACUAUCGUCUCCAAGUGUUCUAUGAAAAUACUGGUAUAAAUCAGCACACACGUUCUUUGUACGGCAAUAUACAAUAGUUCGAGUUGCUUUGAUUUUGGUAGUUUUUAGUAAUGAGACAAUGGAGGCAAAAUCAGACUCAAUAGUGUUGCGCCUUCUUACUUCAUAAUAUAUGUUAUCACGA